rnacentral:tRNA from 1 species
GGAGGAGCCGGCCUGGCUUCGGAAACGCCGCUGGAAUCGGCGUGGGCCCGGAAGGGUCCCGUGGGUUCGAAUCCCACCUCCUCCGC